rnacentral:rRNA from 1 species
AUGGGAGUGCCUUCGUUCUACCGGUGGCUCGUGGAGAAGUACCCCAACAUCGUCGCCCCCGCCGUCGAGGAAGAAGACUGUCCUGCUGGUGGCGGCGCCGCCGUUUACUUCGACAACCUCUACCUGGACAUGAACGGCAUCAUCCAUCCCUGCUUCCACCCGGAGGACCAGACGGCGUGCCCUCCUCCGGCGACGUUCGACGAGGUGUUUCAGUCCAUGUUCGACUACAUGGACCUCCUGCUCCGCAUCGUCCGGCCCCGGAGGCUCCUCUACCUGGCAGUAGAUGGCGUCGCCCCUCGCGCCAAGAUGAACCAGCAGCGGGCCAGGCGCUUCAAAUCCGCCAAGGCCGCCAAAGAGGAGCUUGAGGAGAAUCUCAUGAGGGAGAGGUUCAGGGCUCAGGGGAAGGAGGUGCUGCCGCGGGACGAUACACCACGUGAGGUUUCAGACCCCAAUAUUAUCACUCCCGGUACCGAGUUCAUGGAGAAGCUGUCAGCCGCACUCGAGUAUUACGUCCGAGCACGGUUGAGCAGCGAUCCCCGGUGGAAAGACGUCAAGGUGAUACUCUCUGAUGCAAAUGUUCCUGGAGAAGGGGAGCAUAAGAUCAUGUCAUUCAUCCGUGGGCAACGGAGCAUGGAGAACUAUGAUCCGAACACUCGCCAUUGUCUCUAUGGGCUGGAUGCGGAUUUGAUAAUGCUCGCUUUGGCGUCUCAUGAAGUCCAUUUCUCGAUUUUGCGUGAGGACGUGCUACGCCAAAAUCACCAGCCAGAUAUUUGUGUUCCAGUGACUGGUAGAAGUUUUACAGCCCAAGAGUUACCAAAAGUAAAGUGCAGAGGCUGGUUCCCCAGGAUAACAGAGGCAAGAUCUAAGGGCAAGUUGCCCAAGAAACCGUAUCAGUUCCUCAACAUAUGGGUUCUGAGAGAGUACGUGGAGCUUGAAAUGACUAUACCGGGUUGCAAGCAGGACAUUGAUAGGCUGAUCGACGACUUCAUAUUUAUUUGUUUCUUGACGGGAAAUGAUUUCAUUCCACACAUUCCUUCACUCGAGAUACAUGAAUAUGCAGUCGAUCUUCUCAUUGACGUGUACAAAACCACGUACAACAAAAUGGGGGGUUAUAUUGUUGAUACUGACAAAAUAAAAGAUAAGCAUGCUGCCUAUGUGAAAAUCUCAAGGUUGGAGAAGUUCCUCCAUGAACUCUCGUUGCAUGAAGAGAAAAUAUUUCUCAAAAGAUUUGAACUGCGAGAGAAGUUACUUUGCAAGAUACAGUGUCAAGCUGCCGAAGAUGAAUGGAACGAAAGAAACUAUGGCAUUGUGGAAGAAAGUGCAGAUGGCCUUGAACGAGAGAGUAUCUCUGCUUGCAAUGAUGACAAGCCUGAUGUUACUGAAAAUACCUCAGAGCUGAAGAGAAAUUUAAAGGAUAAGCUGCGUAGUAAGCAAGAUCUUUUCAAAAAUGGAUCCUUUAAACAUGACAGGAUAAGACUGGGAUUGCCAGGAUGGAAAUCCCGGUUCUACAAGGAGAAGUUCGGUGCUGAAACCUCUAACGAAAUUGGGAGGCUACAGACUGAAAUGGUCCAGAAAUAUUCAGAAGGAUUGUGUUGGGUGCUCCGAUACUAUUUUUCUGAUGUGCCGUCAUGGAGUUGGUACUAUCCAUUCUAUUAUGCUCCUUUCGCAUCGGAUCUGAAACGCCUGUCACAGUUCAAGAUAUCUUUCACCGUGGACAAACCACUACGACCAUUUGAUCAGCUAAUGGCAGUGUUGCCACCAGAAAGCUCAUGUGCCCUUCCAAAAUGCUACAGCAAAUUAAUGGGCUGUGAAGAGUCCGCGAUACAAAUGUUCUACCCGUCAGAUCUGGCGAUUGAUACUCAUGGAAAACGCUUCUUGUGGCAAGGUGUUGCAAAGUUGCCAUUUAUAGAUGUGAAGCUGCUGCUUUCAGCAACCAAAACAGUAGAGAAAGAUCUUGCAUUGCAUGAAAUGAGGAGGAACACUAUCCGGCAAGAGAAGAUCUUACUGAGGAACCCAAACUCUCUGGCAAAUAAUGCAGUAUUUGCGCCAAUAUCCGAGAAGAAGAUUCUGAUAUCCACCAGUGAAAUCACAGGAUGGUUAUCCCAAGAUGAGGAUGGUCCAAGCAACGGCCUUUUUCGCUCGCCGAUAAGAGAUCUUCCAGACAUCACGCAUGAUCAGACAAUAUCGGCAGUGUUCUUCAAUCCUGAGGCAGUGAAGCCAAUCUCAAGACUGCUCGACAAUGUCAUCGUACCAGACAAGACUGUUGCUGAAAGUGACAUUCGGAUGAGACCCAUGUGGCACACGUACCCGGGGCCGAGGCCGCCGACGGUCACCUGCAGGCCAGAUACCCUGUGGAAGGGGAGCUCGCCGGCGAUGCAGCCGAGGGAAGAGGUGAAGAACGCCGGAACUGGGUGGAUGGGGCGGGGUAGAGGAGGCGUCGGCGCCGCCCCCACCGAGGCCCAUCAGAUCGGGAGGAGCAGCUUCGGGCUGGUGAGAGGGGACGCUGCCGGUGGCGCCGAGGCGCUGAAGCGGACGAGCGGCAGCUACGGGAGAGGUUUCCAAGGUGGCCGGUUCGACGGCGUCGGCGACGGUGGCGCGUACAGCUUCCGACCGGGAGGCGGUUGGGCAGGAAGGGGCAGCGCGGCGCAGAAGCAGCAGCAGACCGCGUGGCGGCCCGUGGGGACGUGGGCGAGAGGCGGCGGCCGUGGCGGGAGCGGGCAGCCGCGUGCGUGGUAG